UGGGGAAUAUUGGGGCAAUGGGGGAAAGCCCUGACCCAGCAACGCCGCGUGAAGGAAGAAGGCUUCGGGUUGUAAACUUCUUUUAUCCAGGGAGCGAAGGACGUGACGGUACCUGGAGAAAAAGCAACGGCUAACUACGUGCCAGCAGCCGCGGUAAUACGUAGGGGGCAAGCGUUAUCCGGAUUUACUGGGUGUAAAGGGAGCGUAGACGGCGUAUCAAGUCUGAUGUGAAAGGCAUGGGCUCAACCCGUGGACUGCAUUGGAAACUGGUAUGCUUGAGUGCCGGAGGGGUAAGCGGAAUUCCUAGUGUAGCGGUGAAAUGCGUAGAUAUUAGGAGGAACACCAGUGGCGAAGGCGGCUUACUGGACAGUAACUGACGUUGAGGCUCGAAAGCGUGGGGAGCAAACAGGAUUAGAUACC
rnacentral:rRNA from 1 species